AGGGAAUCUUCCACAAUGGACGAAAGUCUGAUGGAGCAACGCCGCGUGAGUGAUGAAGGGUUUCGGCUCGUAAAACUCUGUUGUUGGAGAAGAACGGGUGUCAGAGUAACUGUUGACAUCGUGACGGUAUCCAACCAGAAAGCCACGGCUAACUACGUGCCAGCAGCCGCGGUAAUACGUAGGUGGCAAGCGUUGUCCGGAUUUAUUGGGCGUAAAGCGAGCGCAGGCGGUUUUUUAGGUCUGAUGUGAAAGCCUUCGGCUUAACCGGAGAAGUGCAUCGGAAACCGGGAGACUUGAGUGCAGAAGAGGACAGUGGAGCUCCAUGUGUAGCGGUGAAAUGCGUAGAUAUAUGGAAGAACACCAGUGGCGAAGGCGGCUGUCUGGUCUGCAACUGACGCUGAGGCUCGAAAGCAUGGGUAGCGAACAGGAUUAGAUACCCUGGUAGUCCAUGCCGUAAACGAUGAGUGCUAAGUGUUGGAGGG
rnacentral:rRNA from 1 species